GUGGGGAAUUUUGCGCAAUGGGCGAAAGCCUGACGCAGCAACGCCGCGUGCGGGAAGAAGGCCCUCGGGUUGUAAACCGCUUUCAGCAGGAACGAAACUGACGGUACCUGCAGAAGAAGCCCCGGCCAACUACGUGCCAGCAGCCGCGGUGAUACGUAGGGGGCGAGCGUUGUCCGGAUUUAUUGGGCGUAAAGAGCUCGUAGGCGGUUCGGUAAGUCAGAUGUAAAAACUCCAGGCUCAACUUGGAGAGGCCAUCUGAUACUGCCGUGACUAGAGUCCGGUAGAGGAGCACGGAAUUCCUGGUGUAGCGGUGAAAUGCGCAGAUAUCAGGAGGAACACCAGCGGCGAAGGCGGUGCUCUGGGCCGGAACUGACGCUGAGGAGCGAAAGCGUGGGGAGCGAACAGGAUUAGAAACCCCUGUAGUCC
rnacentral:rRNA from 1 species